rfam:Dipodomys ordii contig_3400, whole genome shotgun sequence.
GGUGGCUCAGUGGUAGAGUGCUUGCCUUGCAAGCAUGAGGCCCUGGGUUCCAUUCCUCAGCACCA